UACAGAGGGUGCUAGCGUUGUUCGGAAUCAUUGGGCGUAAAGGGUGCGUAGGCGGCCGAUUAAGUCUGGGGUGAAAGCCCACUGCUCAACAGUGGAACUGCCCUGGAAACUGGUCGGCUUGAGUACAGACGAGGGUGGCGGAAUGGAUGGUGUAGCGGUGGAAUGCGUAGAGAUCGGGAAGAACACCAGUGGCGAAGGCGACGUGCUGGGUUGCACCUGACGCUGAGAUGCGAAAGUGUGGGGAGCAAACGGG
rnacentral:rRNA from 1 species